AUUAUUUAAUUAAAUUAAUAUAAGAAUAAAAAAGUUCUUAUAUAUUAGAAAGACGAUAAGACCCUAAAACCUUCAUAAAUUUUUAUUUUACUGGGGUGGUAAAUUUUUAAAACAUUUUUUUAUAAAACAUAUUGAAUGACUAAACCUAGCUUUUAUAAAAACCAAAAAGGUACUUUAGGGAUAACAGCAUAAUUUUCAUUUAGAGUUCUUAUCGACAUGAGAGAUUAUGACCUCGAUGUUGAAUUGAAUAACUUUUCUAAGCAGCAUUAGAAGAUAGUAGGUCUGUUCGACCUUUAAUUUUUCACAUGAUCUGAGUUCAAACCGGAC
rnacentral:rRNA from 1 species